CUUAAAUAAUAACAAGUUUCUUCUCAUGAGAGAUACGAUUUUGUUUACCAUUUUUGAAGAAAACAAAGGACUAUGAUAGUUUUAUUCAUCAUGAGAAGCUUAUGUUACAGUAGGACAUCUAUAUACAAGGCAGAGAUGUCAUUGAUGGGAAAGAUGCUAACUAUCAAUCUCCUAUAAUCUUGGUAUAUCAAAAUCUAUCUACACUAAUAAUUAUCCUGUCAAUUGUUUACAUAACAGUAGUAAUAUGAAUUGGAAACAAUGUAGUGAUCACAAGCAAGAAUAUGUGAGAUAAUAUAGGAUCCACUGCAACUUUCCUGGCGGAUGCAAUACUAUAGGAACUGCAGUACCGUAUGAGAUAAUGUAGGAGACAAUAUAGCAUUUUACCCUUCAAUAAUUUUCAUGACAAUGAUUUUCGAGAAUUCUCUUUGCUUCAAAGAUUAAGCGUUGUACCAUGUCAGAAGAUCAUCAGUGCUCCUGAUACUAUACGAGAAUUGCAUUCUUUUGUGGAAUUAGAAGUUGUUGGGUGCUAGAGUUUGACUUAUUUUCCAGAGGAUUGCUUAUGUGGCCGCACCCGAUUGAAAUCAUUACGAAUCAGUGAUUUCUCGUAGGAGCUGGAGGUUUUCCUGAAGAAGCUCUAAAUUUGAAUGUUGGAUCUCUUGAAAAACUAUGGAUGGGAUAAACUGAAGAGUUUACCGCAUCAACUUCAACACCUAACUUCCCUUAUAUUUGUUAUUGUGAGAAUGUAAAGUACCUACCUAGUUAAACUGCCAUGCAAGGACUCUCCAGAUUAUAUUAUCUGUAUACUUCUGAUCAUUUCUUGAGGAAAAUGGUCGCAGGUACAAUGGCGUUGAGCACCUUAAGAUCUUUCGAUCCGAAGUGUCCACAUAGAUUUCAACGGAAGGAACGAAUUCAGCUUUUCAGAUUAAACUUGAUUUCAGCAGCUCAUUUUCUCAUGCUAUUUUCAUUGCUCAGUCAUGAAUUUGAGCAACAUACAAGAACAGACGUACAAGUCUGGCAAUUACAAACAAGCAUUAGAGCAUAACAAUGUUGUUUAUCUAUGUGAGAAGUCUGCACCGCACCUGCUGAUCGUAUUUUUCUUCUUUUGGGAUUCUGUUUACUAUCAUGUUUGUCUUGUUAUUGUUUGGUUCUAAACACUAUUUCAGUUGUCUGGCCAAAUUAUAAAUUGCAUAAUAUAAAGCCUUUAUAUAUAUAAA